rnacentral:rRNA from 6 species
AACGACUCUCGACAACGGAUAUCUCGGCUCUCGCAUCGAUGAAGAACGUAGCGAAAUGCGAUACUUGGUGUGAAUUGCAGAAUCCCGUGAACCAUCGAGUCUUUGAACGCAAGUUGCGCCCGAAGCCACUAGGCCGAGGGCACGUCUGCCUGGGUGUCACGC